ACACACACACACACACACACACACACACACACACACACACACACACACACACACACACACACACACACACACACACACACACACACACACCAACUGUAGUACUUGUGAUAUCUGACAUCCAGCUGACUGCACUCGCUUCAGACUUGAGCUGUAAUUCAGGGAAAACUGACACCGCCGAGGGCAGCUGUUUUUCAAACUGAAACACUUUGUGUGCAUUUAAUCAUCCCAUCAACGAGCGCUUGGUUUACUUUCUCUUCACUUUAUUAUCGUUUCCUUUAAGCACAAGCAACUAAUUGACUCAGAAAACUAAUAAUGAGGUGAUUAUGUUCUGAGUUUUUUUUUUUUUUUUUUUCAGUAAAAUCAGGAAACAGAUUUUAUUGAUGAAACUUGAAGUGAAAGUAAAUUGAUUGCUGCUGUCACGGACCAGCUGGAAAGGCAAUUUUUUUAAAAACUACCUAAACUGCACACUUGUGUCCCAGUGGGCUGAUCGAUCUCCAUCUUCAAAAUCUGAACUGACGAGUGCAGUUUUUCUCUUCUGACAUAUAUAUAUAUAUAGUAGUUCACCUGUCUGCCUCCAUUUAUUCACUCAUUCAGUCUUUUACACUAAAUUUGGAAGAGGUGUUAACCAGGUAACAUCUGUAUACUCAAACUCUGGGCUCAGGUUGCUUCUAGACGAGACCCUGGUACGUCUGUCUGUCCGUCUUGUCUCCCUUUAAUAUUUUGUGAUUCUGAAGAGAACUGCAAGGAGCCUCGAGCCUCUCAGUUGAUUUUUUAUUCUUUCUUUCUUUCUUUUUUUGGGGGUCUGUUUUUAUUUUAGAACUGACAUGUUUUUAUCUGGCCUUCAGCGUCUCAUAGCGGACAUGCCAGUGUUUGGCCCUCUGCAUGGUGUUAAUAGCUACUGCGUUGUAGCAUUAAGCUAGCUAAGAGCUUGUAGAUGCCAGCUGUAGUCAGGUAACCAGAGAGGAUCAUCAUCUUGAACCAUUUUUUCUCUCUUUCACUGCCUUUUUCAUUAAAGCUGCACUAGUCCUGCGUUUUUCCAGGCAUCUUUAGGACCUACAGGCUGUAAGUUUGAUUCUCGCUUCUAGGAGCUCUCAGACUCAUUCACAGUUUUCUGACCUGACUGUAAACAAACACAUUUUUGCUUCAACUUAGAGAUAUUGAUUUUUUUUUUUAACUCAAAUUUCUAAUUUCCAUUCAAAGGAAUUGUUUGACGUUUUGGGAAAAUGCACUUAUUUGCUUUCUUGUGAAGAAUGAAAUAAAAAGAUACCACUCUUUGUUUAGCUUAGUAAAAAAACUGGAAGCACAUGGAAACAGCUAACCUUGCUCUGUUCAUCGGCACCUCUAAAGCUCACUCUUUAACAGGUUUUAUCUUGUGUGUUAAACCGUCAGUUUGUGUUGUUAUGGGGGUUUUGUGUUGUAACUUUUCCUUCCACAAAUUGUUGUUUUCACACUUAAAUUAAAUAUAAUUAAUCAUUGAGAUUUAGAGGUGCUGCUUAGGCAGAUUUUUGAAACUUUGGACAGAGGCAGGCUAGCUGUUUCCCCUCGUUUCCAGUCUUUAUACUAAGCUAAGCGGCUACUAGUUGAGAUGAGUUGGCAUUUUUCCAUCUAAUUCCGAGCAAGAAAGUUUUAAUUUUCCUAAAUAUCAAACUAUUUAUUGAACUGACAAAUGAUUCAGUCUUUAUUAACCCUCUUUUUUUCUUCUUCUCCUGAGUUGGAUAAAUCAGUGUCACUGGACUGCUGAUCAUCUUUUCAGCAAAAGAGAUGUCAGUCAAUUCAAGUGACGGGUUGGCAUUUAUCUGUCAGGUUGUUGAAAUGAUUUCUCCGCAGUAAGAAGCAGAUUUAACGUUUUAGUUCAGUCUAACAGCUGCAUCACUUCUGUCUGAGCUCUUCUGCAUCAAUUCCAUCCACAUUAUUUCUCACCUCAAGCGCCAGUCUCAUACUGUACAGUUUCUCUUCUUCUUCUGUGUUCACAUUACAAAUCGGGCAUGUAUGUUGAAUUAAAUAUUUAAAUAAACUUUGUAUACAUUUUAUAGUGAAUCAGAUGACAAUGGCUGUUUUUUUUUCUUUUCUUCUUUUGAUCAACUUAACAGUCUGUGGUUUGUUAAAGAAAGAUAAGUUGCUGCUGUAGGUUUACAUUAGUUUUCUCCUGUUUGUGAGAAUGUUCAUAGAAACACGGUGUGAAUACUCGGAUUCUGAUAGGAAAAUCUUUGUGUCGAGUGGGUCGGAGACAAAUGUCUUGUCUGCCUUUUAAAGAUAUCUCUGGUAAUUUAUUUUUGAAUAAAAUGUUUACCUUAAGAAUAAAUCAUCCGUACAAUU